CUUGAGUCUAGUAUGUACGUGUGCAUGUGGAAAUGUAUGUAUGCAGGUGGAGGUGUGUGUGUGGAGAUGGAAGUGUGUAUGUCCAGAUGGAAUUGUGCGUGUGCAUGUGGAGGUGUGUGUGUGCAGGUGGAGGUGUGUGUGUGCAUGUGGAGGUGUGUGUGUGCAGGUGGAGGUAUGUGUGUGCAUGUGGAGGUGUGUGUGCAUGUGAAGGUGUGCGUGUGCAUAUGGAGGUGUGCGUGUGCAUGUGAAGGUGUGUGUGAAGGUGUGUGUGUGCAGGUGGAGGUACGUGUAUGCAGGUGGAGGUGUAUGUGUGCAGUGGAAGUGUACGUGUGCAUGUGGAGGUGUGUGUGCGCAUGUGGUGUGCGUGUGCAUAUGGAGGUGUGCGUGUGCAUGUGAAGGUGUGCAUGUGAAGGUGUGUGUUCAGGUGGAGGUACGUGUGUGCAGGUGGAGGUGUAUGUGUGCAGGUGGAAGUGUACGUGUGCAUGUGGAGGUGUGUGCGCGCAUGUGAAGGUGUGUGUGUAUAUGGAGGUGUGCGUGUGCAUAUGCAGGUGUGCGUGUGCAUGUGAAGGUGUGUGUGUGCAGGUGGAGGUACGUGUGUGCAGGUGGAAGUGUACGUGUGCAUGUGGAGGUGUGUGCGCGCAUGUGAAGGUGUGUGUGUAUAUGGAGGUGUGCGUGUGCAUAUGCAGGUGUGCGUGUGCAUGUGAAGGUGUGUGUGUGCAGGUGGAGGUACGUGUGUGCAGGUGGAAGUGUAUGUGUGCAGGUGGAAGUGUACGUGUGCAUGUGGAGGUGUGUGUGCACAUGUGAAGGUGUGUGUAUAUGGAGGUGUGUGUGUGCAUGUGGAGGUGUGUGUGGCAGGGAGGGGAGUGUAUUAAUC
rnacentral:lncRNA from 1 species